rnacentral:miRNA from 1 species
GAAAUGAGUCUGACUUGUAUGA